UACGUAGGGGGCAAGCGUUGUCCGGAUUUAUUGGGCGUAAAGGGCGUGUAGGCGGCCAGAUAGGUCUGUUGUGAAAACUCGAGGCUCAACCUCGAGACGCCGAUGGAAACCAUUUGGCUAGAGUCCGGAAGAGGAGAGUGGAAUUCCUGGUGUAGCGGUGAAAUGCGCAGAUAUCAGGAAGAACACCCGUGGCUAAGGCGGCUCUCUAGUACGGUACUGACGCUGAGACGCGAAAGCGUGGGGAGCGAACAGG
rnacentral:rRNA from 1 species